GGACCUCACCGGGUCUUCAUCAGCAGAAACUUAAAUUGUUUGCACCUGUAUGUUUCCGCCCUGAUGAAGAGCAGGUGAGGUCCAAACCGGUUGGCGUCUUUUUACUGAGAUGUCCCGUUACAGGUCCUGAUCAUACCAGAUGGCCAGAAACAAGCCAACCAUGUCUUGAGGUCUUCCUUGAUGCUGUAAAGAAGCCUGACUUUACAUCCAGCCUCCAAUCCAAGAUCUUGACAUUGUUAGAUGAACCCUUCACUGAACAAUGGAAGACUCAGUCCUGUCAACCCCCCAGGAGGACAUUGAGUUAAGAGGAACCAUUUAAGCCACAAGUUUUUAUAAAAAUUUUCCUCCAGCUCCCUCAGCAUUCCCCGGAGGAAGUGUCUGGAGAGGGGGAAGUCUGGGCCUCUUUGCUUAGACUGCUACCCCGUGACCCAGUUCUGGAUAAGUGGUCCUCUCUCCAUGUUUCCAGAUGUGGCUCAUACUGGAGUACAGUGAACUAAAUCAGUGCUUUACAUCUUUCAUAUUAAAACAUUACAAGUUUGAGUUGUAAUAGGUUUUAUUGGAGAGCCCAGAACAAAGCCUAAACAUUUUUAUUUAUUUAUUUUUUAAAGUGGCACUGUUCAGGUCUUCUGGUUCUUCAACUGCAGUGAAGGACUAAAACUUGAACCUGUGCCUUAUUUUAUUAAAAGCAGAACCAGGAAGUUUACAUUGUAAUAGCUUUAUUGAAAAGACAAACAAGGCUGAAAAUUACACAAUUUCAAACCCCUUUUUUCAAAUGCUGCUGAAGCUUGGGAUCCACCAUGGGAGUUACACCACAAUUAAGACUUGUCAUGUAAAGAGAAGUCUUCACCACUGUGGUCCAGCCACAUGCAGUACAACAGCAUGGAGAAAGAUGUGGGGUACUCUUUGACCCAUCUUAGCCAAAACUUCAAGUGGCUGAGCUGGAUGGAGUAGAUGAGCCUGCAAAAAA